rnacentral:rRNA from 1 species
GACGAACGCUGGCGGCGUGCUUAACACAUGCAAGUCGAGCGGUAAGGCCCUUUCGGGGGUACACGAGCGGCGAACGGGUGAGUAACACGUGGGUGACCUGCCCUUAGCUCUGGGAUAAGCCUGGGAAACUGGGUCUAAUACCGGAUAUGACCUCAUGACUCAUGUUGUGGGGUGGAAAGCCUUGUGCGGCUAGGGAUGGGCCCGCGGUCUAUCAGCUUGUUGGUGGGGGUAAUUGCCUACCAAGGCGACGACGGGUAGCCGGCCUGAGAGGGCGACCGGCCACACUGGGACUGAGACACGGCCCAGACUCCUACGGGAGGCAGCAGUGGGGAAUCUUGCGCAAUGGGCGAAAGCCUGACGCAGCGACGCCGCGUGAGGGAUGACGG